UACGUAGGAGGCAAGCGUUAUCCGGAAUGACUGGGCGUAAAGGGUGCGUAGGUGGUCUGGCAAGUUGGCAGCGUAAUCCCGGGGCUCAACUCCGGUGCUACUGCCAAAACUGUCGGACUUGAGUGCAGGAGGGGUGAAUGGAAUUCCUAGUGUAGCGGUGGAAUGCGUAGAUAUUAGGAAGAACACCAAUGGCGAAGGCAGCCCCCUGGGAUACGACUGACGCUCAUGCACGAAAGCGUGGGGAGCAGACAGG
rnacentral:rRNA from 1 species